rnacentral:rRNA from 1 species
AUUGAACGCUGGCGGCAGGCCUAACACAUGCAAGUCGAACGAGUGGCGGACGGGUGAGUAAUGUCUGGGAAACUGCCUGAUGGAGGGGGAUAACUACUGGAAACGGUAGCUAAUACCGCAUACCAUCGGAUGUGCCCAGAUGGGAUUAGAUAGUAGGUGGGGUAACGGCUCACCUAGUCGACGAUCCCUAGCUGGUCUGAGAUGAGGACCAGCCACCUGGGAACUGAGACACGGUCCAGACUACUACGGGAGGCAGCAGUGGGGAAUAUUGCACAAGGGGCGCAAGCCUGAUGCAGCCAUGCCGCGUGUAUGAAGAAGGCCUUCGGGUUGUAAAGGACUUUCAGCGGGGAGGCGUUACCCGCAGAAGAAACACCGGCUAACUCCGUGCCAGCAGCCGCGGUAAUUC